rnacentral:rRNA from 1 species
GACGAACGCUGGCGGCGUGCUUAACACAUGCAAGUCGAACGGAAAGGCCCUGCUUUUGUGGGGUGCUCGAUUGGCGAACGGGUGAGUAACACGUGAGUAACCUGCCCUUGACUUUGUGAUAACUUCAGGAAACUGGGGCUAAUACCGGAUAUGAGCUCCUGCUGCAUGGUGUUGGUUGGAAAGUUUCGGCGGUUGGGGAUGUACUCGCGGCUUAUCAGCUUGUUGGUGUGGUAGUUGCUUACCAAGGCUUUGACGGGUAGCCGGCCUGAGAGGGUGACCGGCCACAUUGGGACUGAGAUACGGACCAGACUCCUACGGGAGGCAGCAGGGGGGAAUAUUGCACAAUGGGCGGAAGCCUGAGGCAGCAACGCCGCGUGCGGGAUGACGGCCUACGGGUUGUAAACAGCUUUCGAAUGUGACGAAGAGUGAGUGACGGUAAUGGGUAAAGAAGCACCGGCUAACUACGUG